AUUGAACGCUGGCGGCAGGCCUAACACAUGCAAGUCGGACGGUAGCACAGAGAGCUUGCUCUCGGGUGACGAGUGGCGGACGGGUGAGUAAUGUCUGGGGAUCUGCCCGGUAGAGGGGGAUAACCACUGGAAACGGUGGCUAAUACCGCAUAACGUCGCAAGACCAAAGAGGGGGACCUUCGGGCCUCUCACUAUCGGAUGAACCCAGAUGGGAUUAGCUAGUAGGCGGGGUAAUGGCCCACCUAGGCGACGAUCCCUAGCUGGUCUGAGAGGAUGACCAGCCACACUGGAACUGAGACACGGUCCAGACUCCUACGGGAGGCAGCAGUGGGGAAUAUUGCACAAUGGGCGCAAGCCUGAUGCAGCCAUGCCGCGUGUAUGAAGAAGGCCUUCGGGUUGUAAAGUACUUUCAGCGGGGAGGAAGGCGGUGCGGUUAAUAACCGCGCCGAUUGACGUUACCCGCAGAAGAAGCACCGGCUAGCUCCGUGCCAGCCGCCGCGGUAA
rnacentral:rRNA from 1 species